GAUGAACGCUAGCUACAGGCUUAACACAUGCAAGUCGCGGGGCAGCAUGAGGGUUGCUUGCACUCCCCGAUGGCGACCGGCGCACGGGUGAGUAACGCGUAUCCAACCUGCCCUUCACCACGGGAUAACCCGGCGAAAGUCGGACUAAUACCGUAUGUUGUCCAUUGACGGCAUCCGAUUUGGACGAAAGGUUUGGCGGUGAAGGAUGGGGAUGCGUCCGAUUAGCUGGACGGCGGGGUGACGGCCCACCGUGGCGACGAUCGGUAGGGGUUCUGAGAGGAAGGUCCCCCACACUGGAACUGAGACACGGUCCAGACUCCUACGGGAGGCAGCAGUGAGGAAUAUUGGUCAAUGGGCGUAAGCCUGAACCAGCCAAGUAGCGUGCAGGAUGACGGCCCUAUGGGUUGUAAACUGCUUUUAUGCGGGGAUAAAGUGGCCCACGUGUGGGUUUUUGCAGGUACCGCAUGAAUAAGGACCGGCUAAUUCCGUG
rnacentral:rRNA from 1 species